AUUACAGUAAAAUACUGUAAUUUGCAUUGCUUUCUGAGUAAUAUUGUUUGAGCGGGAACAUUUUACAGAAUAUUUUAGUAUUGCUGUAACCUAGCUGUAACUUGGCUGUAAUAUGCCAGGCAAUAAUACAGAAUUGCUGUAAACAGCGCGUCACCUGACAGACGACGUCACAACACAACUGCCGCAGCUCACUUACAGAUGUCUGAACGUCUCUCUCUGUGGAAAUCUGGAAGUUUGCUCUACAGUGUGGGCCACUUAUUUUUGCAGCCUGGGAAUGAGUUUUCUAUUGAGACUUCUUCCAGCAUCAGAAGUUGAAGUGGAGAGGGGAGAUUCAGUCUCUGCUGACUGAGAUGGAGAAUGACUCAAGAACCCUACAAGACCAAGAUCUGAUGGCGACUUCAGUUGUCCUGCUUUUGAUGGCCUUCUUCAGGGAGGCGAUGGAAUCCCUGUUCAUACUGACAGAUGUAAGUAUCUCAAACACAUCUAUUGUUUAUUUUGCCUACAAGGACAUGAAAAAGUUUGUACUCCCCCUGAGUUUUUGUGCAAUGACAAUAUUUUAAAUAUUUUUAUUAAGAUAGGAAAUUUAAAUAAUAAAUAAGCAGUGGAAAAGUAUUUUAAGAAAGAAAAAUAUCACUGACAAUAUUUGACAAGUUGUACUCCUUAUACUCAUGUUUUAUGUAUAGUAGCUACUUCAUAUUCUG